UUUGAUGCAGACCAAAUACUCAUGCUAUGUGGUGACAAAUAACAAUCUUUAGCGCUAUUCCAUUAGUAUGAUUUAAGAGUUGUAAUUGCUGUUCCUGGUUACAUAUCCAAACAAUCUGACAGUUUCACCUCCAGCUCUGAUUUCGUGACAAAACAAACCAAAAAUCUUAGUCAGGAGCACUGCUCUAUAUAUCUCAAAGAUGCAAUCAUAUGUCCUACCUACGUUUUACUUGAUCUCCUGUUUGCUAGCUCACGCUUGUCUGCUUUUGCUUUGAUAGCUUGCUGCAUUGACUAAACUAUUGAGAACUUAUGUUUUCCUUGCAAAUGGACAUUGCUAUAUUCUUCCUGCUUCCCUUCAAAUUGAAAAUAAUCAAAAACCCUGCCUUGGACUUUCAAAGGAUCUGCUAACCAAUUCUCUCCCUCCCUCAAUCUUCUGAUUAUUGGCUAGUUGAUUACUGUUAUCAGGUAAUCCUUGCUUCUACUUGUAUUAGAGCAUGUUCCUUCUUUCCCUGCGUCCCUUUACCAAAACAUAAAACCUAGUAAAAUGGAGAACUCUUUGGUUUUCAUUUGUCCCUUGUUUUCGCUUAUUGGUGCUGGUUGUAAAAUGAGGAAAAGUUGGAUUCUUCCACGGUCGUUACAGCAUGUAAUGUAGUUUUGAGGUAUAGGUGCCAUGAUAUUCUUUUAUUUUUAGAUGAUAUGAAUAAGUGUUUUCUAAAGGCAAAUAGAGAAACCACAACUAUCACAUGUUUUCUGUUUUUUUAUUCAUAUACAGAGGAAGGCAUGCUUGAGCAAAUCAUAUACAAAGGUUUAGCAUUCAACUGGCUGCCGGCUGCUGUCAUGAUUUAUUGCUUCCUUGUAGAUCUGGGAUUCAAGUGGUUGGAUUAUUAGGAAAAUUCACACGAGGACCACUUUGCUGUUUGCACGUCGUUAAGGUGGUAAUUAAUAUCGAAUUUUGGUUUUUGGCGCUUUUAGAAAAAAUAGAAAGCUUGCAUUUGCUAAUGGAAGGAUUUUUGGUUUUGAGGGUACAUGAGACUGAAUUCUCAAGAGAAAGAGCUCAUGACAAUGUCGGGAGCCUGUAGAUUUAUAUAUAUGAGGCUAUAAUGCAAAUGCAAGGGUUUGGAUGUUUGGAUUGUCUUCCAACAACCUAACCGUAGGGAAGGUGAAUAAUCUCCGGAAGUAAAAUUUACCUCUUCUGACCAAACUAAUUUAUAUAUUUACUUUCUUUCCUGUUUCAUUUACGUUGUAAAUCUUCUUUGUUAUUAGUAUUCUCAGUUUUAGUGGGGAAGAUUUGAUGAUAGGCAUUUACAUAGCAGAGCAAAUUGUUUUUACAUCGACCUAGCCAGUUCUUACUGACGUUGCUAUGAUGUUGCUCUGAAUUUCGGACAUGGUGAAGUUUUGUGCUUCUGUAUUUAGAACUAUAUCUAUCAAUCAUUCAAGUUUUGAAUGAAAUAUUCUGGAAAUAAUGAUGGAAAAUAGAAGUGCAGUCCUAAAAAAAUAAUGGUGUUUGCUGGGAUCAGACAAACUUGGAUUAUAAGGUUCAUUGCCACAAUGCUAAAAGUUGCAGG
rnacentral:lncRNA from 1 species